rnacentral:lncRNA from 1 species
CUUUUCUGAAUGACCUUGUAUGAGCUCCAGGAACUCAAGCCUCAAUUUCUGUAUCUGUGCAUUUGUUCCCAGCUCUGCAACUGUAUUACUUUAAGGAUGAGAAUAAAACUCCCAAACUUCGUGUCCCACUUGCUGUGAAGUUCUGGGAAGUACUGAGGUAUCCCUGCAAGAGUGCAAGUGUGCAUCUCUAGUCUAUUGUAACUUGGCAGCCUGACAGGAGAAGCUCAGGGCCUCCUAAGAAUAUGAGAACCACCAGGAUUUGUGGGCUUAAAGUAGUUAAAGCCGCUGAAUGAAAUAGCCAGUCUUUGGGCUCCCUCAAAUCU